AACUACCGGUAUGUAUCUAAUCCGGUUUCGGCAUGAGAAAAAUAUUAAUCCCAAAUUCCCGCGAGAAUUUGCGCACUAACGGAUACUGGGCAAUAGAAAUCAGAGAUCCGGUCAUGAAUGCGGAGCCACUCCCGAAAAUAACAAGGCGUUUGUGACACUUUCAUGCGUUCCAAUAUUGUCAUAAUUGUCUGUAGGUUCUAAAUUGUCUAUCAGCUUGGCUGUCCUUCAGAAAGUAGCUGAUUCUUGUACUCUACAGCUGUAUUUUCCUACAGUUAAUAAUAAUACUAGCAACAAAACAGAUUUAAUUCCUUAAAAUGAUAUUGCCAGAUGGAAGAAAAUAAUAAGCUUGAGAGAUCAUCCCGGACUUUGCCCCCUCUGCUGUAGCUGAGACGUCCCUGGAAGACAUAGUCUUAUUGUUCUAUGAUGUUUCUGACACUGAGACAGUCAGAGCCUUGUCCCAGUCUCUAGACCUGCCUGUCUGUGUGGUGGAUGACCUCCUGCCCUCUGAAGCUGUCAAUGAGAUG